UGAUUUUAUAUUGGUUACGGUAUUAAUUAUUGAUGCAAUGUAUAUGCCUACCACGUGUUUGACAUUUGGCUUCUGAAGUAAGUCGUUUUUCGGCCUUAUGGUUUUUUUGUGUAGUCUUAAUUUCAAAAUAAGCAGCAAAGUCUGGAUCCAUAGCUUUGAACCCAUUCUUUCAACUGAAGUUUUCUGGGCAAUUGAAUUUCAUAUGACUUGGAACAACAUCUCUCUCUUUGUCACUCUCGCAAACAUACUAACAAAGGCACAGUCUUUCGCAGUUAGCCAGUUACCCACCGAGUGAAAUUAUUGUCACGGCUCGUUGGUUGCUUCCAUUGAACAAAGCAGCCUUUAAGCAGCUGGUUUGUAGAAUCAUGGAAGCACACAAAGGGAGGAUAUGCAGUUUGUAGAAUUGGUGUAUUUCCUGUCCUUCCCUCUCGCUUAGCUGAGUAUCAGAGGUGCAGGUGGUGUUGGGUAGCAUUUCAUGCGCUUCAUUUCCACCCAGAAAUUUUUGCAGUGGGACACCGAAUGGUGGAAAGGUAAUAAAAUCUGAUUGAUUGCCUUUUUUGUUAGCAACAGAGAAACAUGAAGUAUUCUUUCUUCGCAUGGGAAACUAACACCGUGCAGUCAUUUCGGCUUUUCCCUCCAGAUACUCGGGCCUUAAGUUCUUUCAGCCUCUUUUGUACAAACCUGUCUAAUAUCUGUGUGGGUGGGAGGACAGAUUUGCGUCUGCAGUUGAAAGAUGUGAACCAAGCGGUUGUAGGACUUGUGUGGAAGAGCAAUUUUGCAACAAAUGUUCCUUUGGUUAGGAAUAGCUAAGACAUGAACAUGCUGACCAUCCUUCUUCAGUUGUCGUACCUUUGGUAUUGCUAGUGUGAGGCAAGAAACAAUCCAGUUAAGAAUGCAUUGACACUGGUUAAAAAUCAGAUUACGGAAUCUGGUUUGGCUUGUGGGUACUGAUAUUUCAGUCAUUAUUGAGCUUGAAAAGAUUUAAUUGUAGUUAGAGACCACUAUCAUUAUUUUUUUUUUGCUAGAGUGCAAGCGGUUUAAUCAUUCCACAAUUCAGCAUGGGACUUUUGGGUGAAAGUCAUGUAUGGUGCUCUAUUAGUUGAUUAUGACUUGCAUUGAGGCAUGCAAGUUUGAAUCUAAAUUUUGGGCCACGCAGGGACACCAAUUAACUGCGCACUUCCAUUUAGAAUAGAUAGUCCUAUUCAUGAUGUAUUGCAUCAUUCAAUUGGGAUAUGCUGCUUUAUCAGUUGGCUUGAUUUAGCUUUCUCUAGUGAAGUGCAAUCUGUUUCCUUUCUUGAACUGGUAUAUUUUUUUCUUGUAACAUUUGUCUUCCGGUAGGAUGAUUGAUUGGAAAUUAACUUUUCCACAACAGGUUACGAGCGGCUUUCAAUCUUGGCCUUGUGAGAGAUGCCUUGGCAUAUACUCCCUCAGACAUCCCAAAAUACCCUAACCAGACAACACCAUGUCACACACAUUACACCCCCCCGCACUUCCCCACCACACCCACACACUUACAUAGUCGCAACGCACACACAAUGGAUACUUCAAUUGAUAUCGAUACAGGUGCAGAGGAAUGGUGUGAACACUUCGAUAGGAGUGACUUAAAUACCUCACUCACGUACCAAUCUACAUUUACUUGGUGUAUACUCGCUCCAAUAGUCCAAUUACCCUAUGGAAUUAGGAAAGAUAGAAAUAGGAAUUUUUUUUUUUUUGAUAAUAUUGGUUCCAUUGUUCAAUAAAGCUGUAGAAAAAUUGGAGUCUUAUGAAUCCAAAUGUGUUGAGGCAUUUAAAUUCCCCCGAAUCCUCUUGCUGCUUCUCCUAUUUUAGUUUAAUGGUAUCCUCCUAGUGCAGGAACUUUGAAUCUAAACAUGGAUGGCAGCUGGUAUGAAAGUAAUGGAAAAGGAGGUUUUGGUAGUGUUUUCAAAACAGAAGAAUGCAGAUGGCACCUUGGUUAGUACGGCAAGUUCACAUUUACCUCAAGUUGGAAGCUGAAAUCUGGGCCAACUAUUGGGGCCUAACCAUCAUCUUAGUGAAAGGGAUGACCAAUGUGAAGAUCGAGUCUGAGUCACUUCAGGCUGCCAAUUCGAUUAGGAAGGAGCUCCUCCAACCUGGCUGCACGGUGCUGUCAUUAGGAUGCUUAAUUUUUGUUAUUCAAAAAGAGCUGCUCCAUUGGAUUCAUUUGUCAACAAGCCUAUCAAAGUGCCGAUCACCUAGCAAGACUUGGAUCUGAGCAAGAUGAAGAACCCAUAGUGUGCGUCCACAUGCACAUUUUGUGCUCGAAGACGCCAUGGGGACGAGUUGGCUUAGGGAUCAACCUGAGUUGUUUAUGUAUUAUGUAGUUAUAGUUGUGUUCUCUUCGCUAUUACAAGCCAGUUAGCAAUUAUUCAUUCAUAGUGUUUGUAAUUAGGAAGUUUAAAUGACUACUUCUAGGCACUUUAUUACACUUUCUUUUUUUACUACACACAUUUUGCUAAGAACAUAGGUAUUCCAUUUCAUGAUGCUUUAAUAAUCUAAAAAUAUUGUACAGUAUGUGAAUUGUACGGUUUUCGAAGUUAUACUUGCGAGGGAGGUCUUUGAUCAAAUACAUCCAUUUAUUGGUUUA